rnacentral:rRNA from 1 species
GAUCCUGGCUCAGAUUGAACGCUGGCGGCAUGGCUAAAACAUGCAAGUCGUGGGAGAAUCCACUUCGGUGGAGGACACCGGCGAAAGGGCUAGUAAUGGUAUCGAACGUACCCCGAGGUUGAGGAUAGCUGGGGGAAACUCCAGGUAAUACUCGAUAAGCUCUACGGAGGAAAGCUCCGGCGCCUUGGGAGCGGCGAUACUCCUAUCAGGUAGUUGGUGGGGUAAAGGCCUACCAAGCCAAAGACGGGUAGCGGGUGUGAGAGCAUGACCCGCAGCAUCGGGACUGAGACACUGCCCGGACUCCUACGGGAGGCUGCAGUAACGAAUCUUCCGCAAUGCGCGAAAGCGUGACGGAGCAAUGCCGCGUGUGGGAUGAAGCGGUUUCGCCGCGUAAACCACUGUCAGGUCCUAGGAAGAACUGACCGGGACCAGAGGAAGGGCCGGCUAAUCUCGUGCCAGCAGCCGCGGUAAGACGAGAGGCCCGAGCGUUAAUCAGAAUCACUGGGCUUAAAGGGUGCGUAGGCGGACUUGUAAGUGUCCUGUGAAAUCCCACGGCUCAACCGUGGAAUUGCGGGGCAAACUGUAAGUCUUGAGGCAGGUAGAGGUCGUCGGAACGUUCGGUGGAGCGGUGAAAUGCGUAGAUAUCGAACGGAACGCCGAAGGAGAAGUCAGACGACUGGGCCUGUCCUGACGCUCAGGCACGAAAGCGUGGGGAUCAAACAGGAUUAGAUACCCUGGUAGUCCACGCCCUAAACGAUGUCGACUAGUCGUUCGGAGCAGCAAUGCACUGAGUGACGCAGCUAACGCGUGAAGUCGACCGCCUGGGGAGUACGGCCGCAAGGUUAAAACUCAAAGGAAUUGACGGGGACCCGCACAAGCGGUGGAUGAUGUGGAUUAAUUCGAUGCAACGCGAAAAACCUUACCUACCCUUGACAUGUCUGGAACCUUGCUGAGAGGCGAGGGUGCCUUCGGGAGCCAGAACACAGGUGCUGCAUGGCUGUCGUCAGCUCGUGCUGUGAAGUGUCGGGUUAAGUCCCUUAACGAGCGCAACCCCUGUCGCUAGUUGCCAGCGCGUAAUGGCGGGGACUCUAGCGAGACUGCCGGUGUCAAACCGGAGGAAGGUGGGGAUGACGUCAAGUCCUCAUGGCCUUUAUGCCCAGGGUGGCAAACGUGCUACAAUGGCGCGUACAAAGCGAUGCGAGGUCGCGAGACGGAGCAAAUCGCAAAAAGCGCGCCCCAGUUCGGAUUGUAGUCUGCAACUCGACUACAUGAAGCCGGAAUCGCUAGUAAUCGCGGAUCAGCCAUGCCGCGGUGAAUACGUUCCUGAGCCUUGUACACACCGCCCGUCAAGUCAUGGAAGCCGGGAGCGCCCGAAGUCGCCACGAUUCAGUGGUGCCCACGGCAAGUUCGGUGACUGGGACUAAGUCGUAACAAGGUAACCA